rnacentral:rRNA from 1 species
GCUUAACACAUGCAAGUCGAACGGAAAGGCCCUGCUUUUGUGGGGUGCUCGAGUGGCGAACGGGUGUCUAACACGUGAGUAACCUGCCCUUGACUUUGGGAUAACUUCAGGAAACUGGGGCUAAUACCGGAUAGGAGCUCCUGCUGCAUGGUGGGGGUUGGAAAGUUUCGGCGGUUGGGGAUGGACUCGCGGCUUAUCAGCUUGUUGGUGGGGUAGUGGCUUACCAAGGCUUUGACGGGUAGCCGGCCUGAGAGGGUGACCGGCCACAUUGGGACUGAGAUACGGCCCAGACUCCUACGGGAGGCAGCAGUGGGGAAUAUUGCACAAUGGGCGGAAGCCUGAUGCAGCAACGCCGCGUGCGGGAUGACGGCCUUCGGGUUGUAAACCGCUUUCGCCUGUGACGAAGCGUGAGUGACGGUAAUGGGUAAAGAAGCACCGGCUAACUACGUGCCAGCAGCCGCGGUGAUACGUAGGGUGCGAGCGUUGUCCGGAUUUAUUGGGCGUAAAGGGCUCGUAGGUGGUUGAUCGCGUCGGAAGUGUAAUCUUGGGGCUUAACCCUGAGCGUGCUUUCGAUACGGGUUGACUUGAGGAAGGUAGGGGAGAAUGGAAUUCCUGGUGGAGCGGUGGAAUGCGCAGAUAUCAGGAGGAACACCAGUGGCGAAGGCGGUUCUCUGGGCCUUUCCUGACGCUGAGGAGCGAAAGCGUGGGGAGCGAACAGGCUUAGAUACCCUGGUAGUCCACGCUGUAAACGGUGGGUACUAGGUGUGGGGUCCAUUCCACGGGUUCCGUGCCGUAGCUAACGCUUUAAGUACCCCGCCUGGGGAGUACGGCCGCAAGGCUAAAACUCAAAGGAAUUGACGGGGCCCCGCACAAGCGGCGGAGCAUGCGGAUUAAUUCGAUGCAACGCGUAGAACCUUACCUGGGUUUGACAUGGAUCGGGAGUGCUCAGAGAUGGGUGUGCCUCUUUUGGGGUCGGUUCACAGGUGGUGCAUGCCUGUCGUCAGCUCGUGUCGUGAGAUGUUGGGUUAAGUCCCGCAACGAGCGCAACCCUUGUUCACUGUUGCCAGCACGUUAUGGUGGGGACUCAGUGGAGACCGCCGGGGUCAACUCGGAGGAAGGUGGGGAUGACGUCAAGUCCUCAUGCCCCUUAUGUCCAGGGCUUCACGCAUGCUACAAUGGCUGGUACAGAGAGUGGCGAGCCUGUGAGGGUGAGCGAAUCUCGGAAAGCCGGUCUCAGUUCGGAUUGGGGUCUGCAACUCGACCUCAUGAAGUCGGAGUCGCUAGUAAUCGCAGAUCAGCAACGCUGCGGUGAAUACGUUCCCGGGGCU